CGACGCAACGCGAUGAGAACACGCCCUCAGAGAUCUGCAGUCACGUGAAGACUUUAAACUGGCGCCAUUUUCUGUGUAGACUUCUGUUUUGCAGCAGCCGGCGUCGAGUCCUGCAACCCUUUUGUGUCUUCGAGAAAAAACUGAGCAGUUGAUUCAACAUGUCUGACGAGGGAAAGCUCUUCAUUGGUGGUCUGAGCUAUGAGACCACAGAGCAGUCCUUGGAGGAGGCUUUCUCCAAAUAUGGGUCAAUUGCCAAAGUUGAUGUCAUCCGGGACCGUGAGACGGACCGUUCCAGAGGCUUUGGCUUUGUGACGUUUGAAAAUCCAGAAGAUGCCAAGGAUGCAAUGGCUGCAAUGAAUGGAAAGUCUGUCGAUGGCCGCAUGAUUCGUGUUGAUGAAGCUGGCAAAUCUGGUAGACGUUCUGGUGGUUUUAGAGGAGGUUCUUCUGGUGGUAGAGGGUUCUUCAGAGGAGGAAGAGGUAGAGGUGGUGGAGGAUAUGGUGGAGACCGAAGCUACGGAGGUGACCGAAGCUUUGGUGGUGAUAGGGGCUAUGGUGGUGGUGAUCGGGGCUAUGGGGGAGGAGAGAGGAGCUAUGGUGGAGGUGACCGAUCCUACGGUGGUGGCGGAUACUCAAACAGGAGUAGUGGAUACUCGGGUGGCAGCGGCGGUGGAUACAGGGAUAACAGGUUUUAGAAGCCAGAGUGGAUAUGACCGUUCUGGUGGAUCCUACAGAGACAGCUACGACAGUUAUGAAUAGUCCAUAAGACCUUGUUGGAAAAGAAUCAUGUCUUGGUGUCAGUUCACUGUUUGGAAAAGGAUGUUCACAAUGCUCCAGUGCCUUUACCCUUUUGCCUACUUCUUGUCCUCAGCUUCACACGAGUAAAAAAAAAAAAAUCCUGAUUGCAAGAUCAUCCCUUCGCUGGCUGUAUAUAAAGAUGCGCUCUUGGAAGACCUUUUUUGUUUUAACUUUUUUGUUCUGGUUCAAAUGUUCUAUUAAAGAGAGACUCCUAUUUUACCGUGUCAAGUAUCCGCAAGAAUGUUCCUCUCAUUGAGGAGCUGCCUAUUAUCCAUGAGCAUUCACUUCCUGUAAGAGUUUUCAAGCCCUGUGAGGCUACCUGUAUCUGACAUUUUACCUUGCGAUUUGUGUAAUAAUAGAUGCUCACAGAGGUUGGAAAUUGUCCUUUAUUUUUAUUUUCAGUGUGUGUUUAAGAAACUCUGUCUCUGAAACCAUGCGUGAAAAUUGACCUGUCCAACACAGCCUGAUAGCUUCUAAAAACCAAUUUCCUCCAAGCUCUUUGGACCAAUUUCUUAAUAUCGGCUCACUGAAAGUGCUUCGAGGGGCAUUUGAACAAUUUUUAAACGGCACCUGAAAAUAUUCUAAUCUGAUCCUCCAAUAGAAGCUUGAUAAGCUGUGAUGUGUUCUUUAUUGCUCCUUGCCACCUCCAUUUUGUGAUGCAUUCCUUUAGUGAAGCAAGGCAGGCAUGUUGCAUUGGAGUUCUCUCCGGCAAACCUCCUUGAUGUUGCUAAAGAUCUGUAAAUAUGAAUUAUCCAAAGAGUAAACCACUGAAGUGGGUCAUUCUGCCUCGCAUUAAGACCGUUGGCCCAAAGUACUUUACUCUUUGACCAGUCUAAAUUAAUUUUAAAAGUAUGCUCAACUGUGGACUGAACAUAUGUCAAGAUUUUGUUCCACCUUGGAAAGAAAUGUGCUCUGUUCUGUAUAUCAACACCUCCGAAUCCUUUCUUUUUGUAUUAAUCUGGAUUCAUGAAGCUCAUUAAAGAAAAAUGGUUGGAAAAUGC